GGCCGCUUAGCUCAGUCAGUUAGAGCGUGGUGCUGAUAACACCAAGAUCGCGAGUUUGAUCCCCGUUCGGUCC
rfam:Apaloderma vittatum contig78744, whole genome shotgun sequence.